rnacentral:rRNA from 1 species
UGGGGAAUAUUGCACAAUGGGCGCAAGCCUGAUGCAGCCAUGCCGCGUGUAUGAAGAAGGCCUUCGGGUUGUAAAGUACUUUCAGCGAGGAGGAAGGCGUUGUGGUUAAUAACCGCAGCGAUUGACGUUACUCGCAGAAGAAGCACCGGCUAACUCCGUGCCAAGCAGCCGCGGUAAUACGGCAGGGUGCAGCGUUAAUCGGAAUUACCGGGCGUAAAAGCGCACGCAGGCGGUCUGUCAAGUCGGAUGUGAAAAUCCCCGGGCUCAACCUGGGAACUGCAUCCGAAACUGGCAGGCUAGAGUCUUGUAGAGGGGGUAGAAUUCCAGGUGUAGCGGUGAAAUUGCGUAGAGAUCUGGAGGAAUACCGGUGGCGAAGGCGGCCCCCUGACAAAGACUGACGCUCAGGUGCGAAAAGCGUGGGAGCAAAACA